rnacentral:rRNA from 1 species
UACGUAGGUGGCAAGCGUUGUCCGGAAUUAUUAGGCGUAAAGCGCGCGCAGGCGGCCUCUUAAGUCUGAUGUGAAAGCCCCCGGCUCAACCGGGGAGGGCCAUUGGAAACUGGGAGGCUUGAGUAUAGGAGAGAAGAGUGGAAUUCCACGUGUAGCGGUGAAAUGACGUAGAGAUGUGGAGGAACACCAGUGGCGAAGGCGACUCUUUGGCCUAUAACUGACGCUG